UUUAUCCUUGUACGCUUGUAACUCGCCGAGCUGGAUCUUCGUUGCGUUCAUAUUCGUAUGAUGAAUGCACCAUUUUUGUACACUGUACACCCCACACUCAAAAAUAAAUAAACGGCCGGAGCGACACGGGGCGCUGAGGGCGGCACCCCCACAGCGGCAGGCACGCACACACGCGCAACGCAGGGCGCUUGAGAGGGCGCUACCGUCGCUCAGUCUCGCGCCGGCCACCGCUGCGGUUGGAUGUUUGUUACUCUGCGAUGCGAUCGGAAAAAUAAACUAGUUUUGUUCCGGUACGACAUAUCUCCUUCUGUGCGCUGUUAAAUUUUACGUGUUUGUGGACAAUUUGUGAACGUGAUUUUUAUCUAACGUGAACGAUAAACUGUUGGGAUUGAUUGGGAGCCGUUGACUUGUGUUGAAACAAAGGUUUACAUUGUCGGAAGGUGAACGAUCUUCAUUCGACUCGCUACAGAACUGAAGCUUCGCGAGAGACGGCGCGCUGGCCGCGAAACAUGAAUUAGAUAUCGCACCAACGAUAUCGAAACGUAAGUAGCUGAGUAAACCGAACAAAGAUUUGAAGAAAGGGUAUCUGCAAAACGAAACCGUAUGUAAUUUAUUCCAGAACAAUUUUAAUAAGGAAUUCUAACAACAUCUUGCGUCAAUAUUAUACGAGAUUUAAAAAUGAUGAAGUAGCUACAGCGUCAUAUAGUCCCAACGGGGACUUAUUCAAUUAAAAAAGAUACGAAUCGACGGAUUUUUCGGAUCCCAUAACACGAAAAUGUGAGACCCAUAAUAAUGAGGUUGAGUUUUGGUAAAACCUCCCUACGGGUUGUAAAAAGCUACUUUAAAAAAUAAUAUUUCAAUAUAUGCCUGCUGUUACACCUACUGUUGUCUCUCUGCAUCACCCCAAGGUUGACUGGUAGAGAAUGCCAAAUUGGCAUUAAGUCCUCCUUUGUAUAAUGUACAUAAAGUGUAAAAUAAAAAUAAAAUAAAAAUAAAAAACGUACCAAUGAGUCUAUGGAGCCCUCUGAGUAAAAUUCUAAUUUUAUAGAUAGGCUGUAAAGAGUUUAUUUCGCCGUACUCGAAACUCAAAUAAUUAAAAAAAAAACGGUUUAAGGGCCAUUAUUCAUAAAAAUAUUUUAGGUCAAGUGUCCCAAGUUUUAAUUAACCAUCAAUUAAAUUUAAAUUAAAUAGAUUGCUUAAUGUUUAUGAACUUGGUGGAAUUCUUUCAAUAUUGCUUCGAACGGUUUAAGGGUAAAGUUAGGAACCUCAUUUUCGAAGUUGUAAAUACCAAAGCCCGUAUUGAUUUGUGUUGGCAUACUUUUAAAAUUCAAUUUCGGUUCAUCAAAAUGCUUACAACUAUUUAUUGUUUGAAGAAGUGGUUUUUAUUGGCCACAAACUUUGAACACUCAAAACGAUACUGAAUUAUUUAAAACAUUUGCCCAAACAUU